rnacentral:rRNA from 1 species
CCUACGGGAGGCAGCAGUGGGGAAUAUUGGACAAUGGGCGAAAGCCUGAUCCAGCCAUGCCGCGUGUGUGAAGAAGGUCUUCGGAUUGUAAAGCACUUUAAGUUGGGAGGAAGGGCAGUUGCCUAAUACGUAACUGUUUUGACGUUACCGACAGAAUAAGCACCGGCUAACUCUGUGCCAGCAGCCGCGGUAAUACAGAGGGUGCAAGCGUUAAUCGGAAUUACUGGGCGUAAAGCGCGCGUAGGUGGUUUGUUAAGUUGGAUGUGAAAUCCCCGGGCUCAACCUGGGAACUGCAUUCAAAACUGACUGACUAGAGUAUGGUAGAGGGUGGUGGAAUUUCCUGUGUAGCGGUGAAAUGCGUAGAUAUAGGAAGGAACACCAGUGGCGAAGGCGACCACCUGGACUGAUACUGACACUGAGGUGCGAAAGCGUGGGGAGCAAACAGGAUUAGAUAUCCUGGUAGUCCACGCCGUAAACGAUGUCAACUAGCCGUUGGAAGCCUUGAGCUUUUAGUGGCGCAGCUAACGCAUUAAGUUGACCGCCUGGGGAGUACGGCCGCAAGGUUAAAACUCAAAGGAAUUGACGG